UUAACUUGAAAUUCUCUAAAACUCAACAAUAACUCUGCAGGUUUGGUUUCUGUGUCGUGCCCUUGACUUGUAGCUUGGCUGUAGCGCUACCCAGUAGGGCAUACUGCCAACAGUAUAUAAAAGAUCCAACUCUAAUCAGCAUGUCAACAGUGAUGCACUGUAGGGUGUAAAGCUGAUACAAUUUUUCUCUAUGGUAGAGGACGCGAGCUGAAAAUGGCCUUGCUGGCCCAUGCUUUCAAGUCAAGAGGAAAGCUUUCAGAUAUCUUGCAUGCUGUUUACUUGGCUGCCAGCAGAACAGCUCAGUCGGAAGUGAACUGCUAGACCUUUUGUCCAGUCUGCUAUCUAUUAAUACCUCAAGUAGCAGUAGUAGAGACAUACGGUGUUAUGAGCACCGUUGGGGUUAUGCUACUCCAUUACGCAUACCCUUUCUUUCAGCUGAGUACGAGACGGGGAUGCAACAGGUCUUCCGUCCGGGUGAAUGAUGUAAAUCACCAUGUGGGCAGCCUGAUAUGAGAUGAAGCAGGCAGCCUUCAAAGGUGCAUGUCAGGGUGGUGCUGGAUUUGAGGAGUCAUGCAGGGAUGCCACACAGCAGAGGAGACAAGCUAGGAAGGAGUGUGCUGUCAACCCCUCCCAACCCCAAGAUUCAUUCCCAAGAAAUACAUCUUCAAGAGAUG